UCCUCUUCUCUCACCUCCGGCGCGUCUCUUGGCGCCUUACCCGCCCUUCCUUCUCCGGCCGUGACGCUCCCUCGAGCCACGGGGAGCUUUGCGGUCGCCUGGGGUACCCCCCACCCACGUCCCUGCUGCAGGCUCCCAGUGUCCUGCCCCGGCGUCGAGUGCGCCCUGCUGGCUCCCCAACCUCUCCCGCGAUCUGUUCUUGUUAGGAUUUUGUUUCGCGUUGAGCGGAGCCACGCUUGCGGCUUCUGCCUUCUCCGCGCCUGGAAUCGUUCUUUUCUUGCACUGAAUCAGUCAGCCAGCAUGUCCAAAUCCUCCAAGAGAUUUCAGGGAUUGAACUAGGCUUUAGGGACAAGAAGAUGAAAUAUUAUAUACGAAAGCUACAAUUCUGACAAAGUGCUUUCUAGCGUCAGACCCUGGUGGAGCGCUUCCCAUGAGUUAUCUCAUUCAAUUCUCGCAACUCCGAGAGGCGCCUUCUAUUUCACAGAUGACUCAGAAGUCCAGCGCAGAGCUAGCCAAGUGUUAAAGAGAGGAUUCAGGCUGAAGUCUGCGUGCCUCCAGUGCUAUAACCAGACCACCACGCCUCCCUCUGUCUUCCACAUUGCAGCUCGAAGGAGCAGUAGAGAACUGUGGACUAUUCUGCUUGGAAGGUCAGCUCUGAGAGAGCUGAGUCAGAUUGAGGCAGAACUGAAUAAACAUUGGCGGCGAUUGUUAGAGGGACUUUCUUACUACAAACCUCCCAGUCCAAGUUCAGCUGAAAAAGUGAAAGCUAAUAAAGAUGUAGCUUCACCAUUGAAGGAACUGGGUUUAAGAAUCAGCAAGUUUUUGGGUCUUGAUGAAGAACAGAGUGUGCAGUUACUCCAGUGUUACCUGCAAGAGGACUACAGG
rnacentral:sRNA from 1 species